AGACGCUGUCUCAAAAAAAAAAAAAAAAAAGAUUUUCUGAAAUGAUGUCUGCAGUUCCCUUAGCGCAUCACACAGCCUAUGCUUACUAUUAUGCUAAUAAUGGACAUUUAUGUCACCAACCCUGGGGGAUCUGAGGCAUCCUGUGUCCAGGGCUGGACUGAUUUUCAGAGUCAGUCUGGGCCAUGUGGGUCAUAUGAGACUUUGGAGCCCCAGGCAGAGGCAGCAAAGCCCAAUCUGCUGCCUUCAAGAUGCGUCCUUGGGCCCAGAGGUGGCAGAUUACGGGUCCCCUGAACCAGGACUGAGCUCCUUGAUCACAGCAUCCUGGUCUCAUGGGGUCCUUCCCAAAGCUCUGUGUUGAUGACAAGGACCAAGAGGGUUGAUUUUGCUUUUGGCAACUCCAAAGAAGUAAAACAAACCCACGAUGUAGAAGAGAGAAAAUCAGACAUCACCGAUUGAUUGUGACACCGCGUAACCUCAGAAACACACACCGGAAAAACAGGACUUGGGGAUAUUCUUCAAUUCCAACUGGAGAAGAUUCCCAACGAUGGGAAGUGGGAAAGGUCCCGGCGGCAGGUUCCAGCUGCUGUGGACCUGCUUCCAGAUGGACACCAGCAGGAGGACAGCCACCCAGCACAGCAGGGCCACCGUGAUGCCCAGGACAGCCAUGGUGCCUCUGGCGUCCCGCUGCCGACGUGAGAGUACAGUCCUGUGGCAAGGCCGAACUUUUAUAACGCAUCCUUGAGAAGGAGGGUGACCCAGCAACCAAUGCCACCUUCCUUCUCCGCUGGCCCAAGUUAUUAGUUUAUUAUUACCUGCUGUUGGCCAUCUCUUCAAAGUCUGAUCCUGUCGCUGUUGCCUCCUAGAAGUGCAUCCAAUGACCUUGGGGAGGAUGGAGCUGGGCUCUGGCAACACCAGCUGCUGACACCAGUCACCUUGUGGAUAAACAUGUCCAGGAACAUGUCACCAACCCAAAGGUCAGAAAGUGGGAUGCAAAAGCUCUUACCAUCUGAUGAGGAGGUUUGUCUGAGCGGCCCCAAUGGUACCUGAACCACCACUUGCCAAAUUAAUGGGGCCAAAAGGAAAAUUCAACAUCUGAAUCCUGUUCCACUUUGUCACAUUAACUGGCAAAUUCAGGGGAAGAAAACGAAAGGAAAGAAAGAGUUGAACAAUUUUGAGAAAAUUAUUUCUGAUUAUAAAGAAGGCAUAUUUUUAUUGUAGUGGUUAAAUAAAGUGACAUAUUCAAUACA